CACGUAGGGCGCGAGCGUUGUCCGGAAUUAUUGGGCGUAAAGAGCUCGUAGGCGGCCUGUUGCGUCCGCUGUGAAAGCCCGGGGCUUAACCCCGGGUCUGCAGUGGAUACGGGCAGGCUAGAGGUAGGUAGGGGAGAAUGGAAUUCCCGGUGUAGCGGUGAAAUGCGCAGAUAUCGGGGGGAACACCGGUGGCGAAGGCGGUUCUCUGGGCCUUACCUGACGCUGAGGAGCGAAAGCGUGGGGAGCGAACAGG
rnacentral:rRNA from 1 species